rnacentral:tRNA from 1 species
GGACGGCGUAAGCGGCUGGAACUCCUACGAAAACCGCUCUCGACCGUUCUGGAGCGCUCUGGCCGGAAGCCUCGGGACGCGGGUUCGAUUCCCGCCGCCUCCA